GAUGAACGCUGGCGGCGUGCCUAAUACAUGCAAGUCGAGCGAACGGACGAGAAGCUUGCUUCUCUGAUGUUAGCGGCGGACGGGUGAGUAACACGUGGAUAACCUACCUAUAAGACUGGGAUAACUUCGGGAAACCGGAGCUAAUACCGGGUAAUAUUUUGAACCGCAUGGUUCAAAAGUGAAAGACGGUCUUGCUGUCACUUAUAGAUGGAUCCGCGCUGCAUUAGCUAGUUGGUAAGGUAACGGCUUACCAAGGCAACGAUGCAUAGCCGACCUGAGAGGGUGAGCGGCCACACUGUAACUGAGACACGGACCAGACGCCUACGGGAGGCAGCAGUAGGGAAGCUUCCGCAAUGGGCGAAAGCCUGACGGUGCAACGCCGCGUGAGUGAUGAAGGUCUUCGGAUCGUAAAACUCUGUUAUUAGGGAAGAACAUAUGUGUAAGUAACUGUGCACAUCUUGACGGUACCUACUCAGAGAGCCACGGCUAAGUACGUG
rnacentral:rRNA from 1 species